AUGGAAAUGAAAAAAACGUCUGAAGUACACGUAUAUACAUCAGAGUGUGGAUCAAUGCCCUUUCCCCAGUUCAGAUGGUCUCAAGCUGUCACCAUUAGCAUUUCGAGGGGCUCUGCAUGCCGAGCUGCAAGCCUUCUCUCCAUGCCCACAGGGGAAACUGAUGAGCUUCAAACAAUUUCCUUAGUGGAGACCCGGCAUCAUGGAACAUGUCACUUUUUACACAGCAAGUCGGGCUGCCCCUAAUGACCCACGCUGCAAAUGGGAUCCACCCUCUUCAUCUCUGAGGUCCUCGUCUCCCUUGGUUGGUUGUCCCAUCCGUCCUUUAGUCAUCUGAUGUUGUAAGUCAAGAAACUUGAAAAGACCCUACUUGCCCCCCCUCUCUCCCCAGCCCCCAGGGCCUCUCCAAGUUCUGCAGCAUUCACAGAUCCUUUUCCUUCUGUGUCCGCUAUCACUGCCUUAAAUUAGUCCCAUAAUCUCUUGCCUGGCUGAUCGCGUGGCCUCCUAAUCCAUCUUUCUGCUUCUAGCUCGCCCCCUCACUCUACCUGCUUCACAGUAUUUCUAAUACGAAGUCUGAUCUUGUAUUUAUGCCGCCCACCCCUCCUGCUUGCUGUGCUUCCGUGUUCCCUUCAGAACCAGGUCUCAGCUCCUUAGGGGAGUAGGCAACCCUCUCCCGCCCACCUCUCCAGCCUUAUUUGUUGUCCUCUGCUUCCUGAAAUUCUCCAGAAAUUCCACACUUAUGGUAGGUCUCCCUAAACAUCAUGUUAUGUCCUACUUUCUGAUCUUGAAGAACUGUCACCUAGAGUGGCUCUCCCCAUUAUGUUUCCCACAUGGAAAACUCCAAUUUAUCCCCCCAAACUCAGUUCCAUGUCACUUCCUCCCAUUGAACCUUCCUUGGUCCUAAUAGAUACCUACUUUAUGUCAGAGGCACCACACUAAUUGCUUUGAACAAGACAAAUUCCCUCCGCUGUGGACCUCACAUUCUACUAGAUGAUACAGACGCUAAAUAAUCGCACAUUAGUUAUUUGACUGUAAGUGGGAUAUAAAUCUUAACCAGGUGUUGAGGGUCAGGAAGUUACCCUCAGAGAGGGAACUUCGCUGAUGCCUGAAAGACUAGAAGUAAAUAACUGAAGCAUAAGGUGGUAGUAGCUGUGGUGGCGAGCAUCUGAGGAAAGGAAACAUUCUGUAGAAAGCCCCGAGUCAGGAAGAAAUUUGGCACAUAGAGCUUUGAGUUCCUUAUGUGGGG
rnacentral:lncRNA from 1 species